CUGCGUCCGGUCCUGGUUUGAACUAUUUUAACUGCUCUGAGUGAGAGUCUAUAAACAGGACUUUACUGGGCUUCGUCUGGCUCUUAAACUACGGUAAACGGUUUGGAAAACGUGCUCGUAUUGUAAGUCGGUGAUGGUGAAAGCUGAUCUUUGGCUGCUGGAGCGGAGCGCUGUGACCGGUGGAGCUGGAGGAGGUGGCGGAGGAGUGUAGUGGCGUCCUCUGGCCGUCCUGCUGUUCAUCAAAACUAAACGAGCUCAUAAAUCCAAACGACACGCCACCGCUGCAGGAAGCGGCUCCGCCAGCGUUCGAGGCCCAAACAGCUCGAGUUUAAGCGGCGGAGGAUUUGAGCGUGAUCGGUCGGCGCUGUGGGAGCGCUCAGCUGCUGGCAGGUUUACGACCCCGGCUGCUGCAGCCUUCUGCUGGAGGUCUGGAGCAGCAGAGAGCGAGGGCCCCGUCGUCAGGGUGAUUGAUGCUCCUGAAGCUGGCCGAGCUGCAGUUCACCUUGACUUCAGGAGACAGCGGCAGUGACAAACAGGCCUGAACACAGAGGCAACGUGUCACUUCCUGUUGUCGCUCUGAGGUCAGACGGACAUUUCUGGACGUGUGUGACCAGACAACAACCACCACCAACAUAUCGGUUCUGUAGUGGCUCGUACGAUUGGAAUCAGUUAGUCUGCUGUUAUCCAAACAGGUUGUGAUUCCCAACCUUCGUCAUACACUGACGACUCCUCGCCGAUAAACUGUACAACCCAAACAGUGAACACAGAAACUGCAGGAAGUUCGGAAGAAGUUCUAGCAGAUUAUUGCAUUGAGUUUUUCUUUUCCUGAUAUUUUUAGGAACUUUUUAUUCUGUAUUAUUUAUUUUCUUUCAUUUUUAUCAAUCAAACAGACUUAAUAGUUAAUCGUUUUUGUCAAAUUCAGUGUUUUCUUCUCAUUGUUCUAUCAGCUCCUUGAGUUUAAACUUUCAAGAAGGCCUUGCCAAUGGAAUGCUUAUAUUUUCACUAGCACCAAAUCUUGGUUUAGGAGCAUGUUAGGGCCUCCACAAACGUGACCUCUCUGCGGGGGGGGUUCAGAAACACGACACAGCUGCCAUUUUGUUUUUGUUUUGCAGAGAAGGUCUUGCUUAUAGGCCGGGUCAGAGGUCAGUGCUUUCUUUUUCAUAAACACGAGACAGAUGGACAUUAAGGAACUUCACUCCGUCAGCAGGACUAUAAAUAUCGCUGUUAUUCCAGUUAUUAUUCUGUUAUUACUGGAGAGCUAAUGACAGUGCUGUGGGAACUGACCUCUGACCAGCAUACAGACUGAUGUUAGAGGAAUCCAUCACAAACUGUACGAGGAGCAGUGGACCUCCACCGUGUGGCCCCCAGGCUCCUGCUGAUGAACUGAUGGAGGAGGAGGAGGAGGAGGAGAAGGCAGAUUGUUGCUCCUGCAGUCUCUAAUGAACACAAACAGCCACUCGAACAGUGUCGUUGUCAUAGAGACCGCAUUGAUUUCACCGCGAGGUUUCCGCUCUUCCACUUGAUCCUGGUUUGUUCAGCAGACGUCAACACUGAGUCCGUUUCUGUUUCAUUUCUGGAUCCAUCAGGACUCAACAAAUAACAAAUAUUAGUUUGUUUAUGGACACGAUAUCUUUCAUAAAACAAUAUUAUUGAUGUAUAAAGUAAAACAAGACACAAGAGGACGAAAACUACAAAAUAAAACAGGAAGUAACCAAAGAAAGAGGAGUUUUUUAAGUUUCUAUCAGCUCUAUUGUUUACAGAAUUAAAAGUAUAAAAUAUCCAUCUCUACUGUUGGAGCAAAAGACAGCGUGCAUUAAAACGAGUAAAGACGAGAGGGAUGGAGAGACUUCCCCGUAUUCCUGUGUACAGAUCAAUAUCAAUGCUGAGAUACAAAUAAAAGUGUUUUAAGUGUUACAA